AUUGAACGCUGGCGGCAGGCCUAACACAUGCAAGUCGAACGGUAACAGGAAGAAGCUUGCUUCUUUGCUGACGAGUGGCGGACGGGUGAGUAAUGUCUGGGAAACUGCCUGAUGGAGGGGGAUAACUACUGGAAACGGUAGCUAAUACCGCAUAACGUCGCAAGACCAAAGAGGGGGACCUUCUGGCCUCUUGCCAUCGCAUGUGCCCAGAUGGGAUUAGCUAGUAGGUGUGGUAACGGCUCACCUAGGCGACGAUCCCUAGCUGGUCUGAGAGGAUGACCAGCCACACUGGAACUGAGACACGGUGCAGACUCCUACGGGAGGCAGCAGUGGGGAAUAUUGCACAAUGGGCGCAAGCCUGAUGCAGCCAUGCCGCGUGUAUGAAGAAGGCCUUCGGGUUGUAAAGUACUUUCAGCGGGGAGGAAGGGAGUAAAGUUAAUACCUUUGCUCAUUGACGUUACCCGCAGAAGAAGCACCGGCUAACUCCGUG
rnacentral:rRNA from 1 species